rnacentral:tRNA from 1 species
CGGGGCAUAGCUCAAUUGGCAGAGCGCCUGCUUUGGGAGCAGGAGGUUCCCGGUUCAACCCCGGGUGCCCCGA